CCUACGGGAGGCAGCAGUGGGGAAUAUUGGGCAAUGGGCGCAAGCCUGACCCAGCAACGCCGCGUGAAGGAAGAAGGCUUUCGGGUUGUAAACGUCUUUUAAGAGGGAAGAGCAGAAGACGGUACCUCUUGAAUAAGCCACGGCUAACUACGUGCCAGCAGCCGCGGUAAUACGUAGGGGGCAAGCGUUGUCCGGAUGUACUGGGUGUAAAGGGCGGGUAGCCGGGCUGACAAGUCAGAUGUGAAAUUCCGGGGCUCAACCCCGGACUUGCAUUUGAAACUGUUGGUCUUGAGGAUCGUAGAGGCAGGCGGAAUUCCUAGUGUAGCGGUGAAAUGCGUAGAUAUUAGGAGGAACACCAGUGGCGAAGGCGGCCUGCUGGACGACAACUGACGGUGAGGCGCGAAAGCGUGGGGAGCAAACAGGAUUAGAUACCCCUGUAGUC
rnacentral:rRNA from 1 species